CACACAGCCGAUGCCUCUCUUGGGGGCAGCCCGGGAAGGGUGGGCGGCUCCAUUGCCGUUGGGAAGAAAUCUGCACAGCAAACGAGAGCUUUGCCCUGUCUUCCACCCCAAGGACAGCGAGUGAGUUUGGAGGAAUCGCCGAUGUCAGCAGGCGUGUACAGGGGCCAGCAGAUGUCACUUGCAAGAGGCAAGAGGAAAAGCUCUCAUCAGCCUCAAGGACAGCGACACGGGUGCCUUCUCCUCUAGAAGACCUACGCUCCCCUGGGUCCCCCCAGCUGCUUAGACCUCGGGGCUCCACAGUGGAUCUCCCAGAACAGCCACACCCCAGUGGGCCUGGUUCGGCCCCUGAAGGCGCAGGAGAUGCCUGUAAUGUUUGUGUGUGGCAGGUGGAAGAAACAAGAAGGAAAAGCAGGGCCCCAGAGCCCCGGGGGCGGGGGUGGGGGCAGCGAUCUCCCACAGGGUGGCCUGGAGCCCAGGAGAGGCCCUGAUGGGAGGGGCAAAAGCUUGGCUGGGACCCAGUGGACGUGGAGCAGCUGGGUCCUCUGAACGCUGUCACCCGGGACUUGUCCCUGAUGGACGGGAAGCACUUCCUCAAGCGAGCGCUUAGUGCUGACCCAGAGAAUCGAUGGGCGGGGGGCUCGGAGGUGCCAGAGGAACCAUGAAUAUUUUAUACUGUGGAAUCCAGUGGGGAAGGCAACGUGCUUUCUUUUUCAAAUGGAAGUGGUGGAGACUCGAUUUCAUUUAAGAUUAAUAGGUGUGCUGCCCGGUCAUCAGAGCUUGGAGACAAAGCACAACGAAAAGCCAAGAUGCUGAGGCACCGAAAUGGAGCGGGGACAUCUGGGGACAGAGUGGGGCGACUGGAUGUAAUCCCCGCAGGCCUCGAGGGAUGCUGCUCUGAGGACGCCUCUGCCUUCAUAUUCUUUUCUGGAGAAUGUGGAGAAGCUGGGACGUUAUUUUCAAAGCACUGGGAGAGGAGCUCCAGUCCUGGCUCAGCGGAAAUGAAUCUGACGAGUGUCUCUGAGCACCCAGGUUCGACUCGCUCAGCGGGUUAAGGAUCCGGCGUUGCUGUGAGCUGUGGUGUAAGUCACAGAUGUGGCUCAGAUCUGGCGUUGCUGUGGCUGUGGUGUAGGCCAGCAGCUGUAGUUCCGAUUUGACCCCUCGCCUGGGAACCUCCAUAUGCCGCCAGUGUGGCCCUAAAAAGACAAAAAAAAAAAAAAAAGGCACUGGCAAGAUUCCAGUCAUGCUGAUGAAGUUACUUGUGUGAUGUGACUGAUGACACUCUGGGAGGCUGUGCAUCCUGGUGAGUUCGGCUGGAGCCAGAAAACCAGGGCUGAAGUGUGCAAGCUGGUGGGGGAGGAAGCGGGCACCGUGGCCCUCAGCCGGGCCAUCCUGCCUGCCUCCUUCCAGAGCACUGAGCAUCCAGGCUGUUUGCACAGAUCGGCAGGGCAGUUACCUGGCUCUUCCUUUGGGAACUUCCUUUCAUGCUUAACAGCCUCUAAAGGCAAACGAAGGCAGUUUUCCAGGCCAUUGCCUUCGCUUGCUGUUUCCAAAACUGUGUCCCUGCCUCCACUUCCUGCUCGUUUCUCUGAAAGGAGAGUGUGACGGUGCUUCCUUUAGCAAUUGCCCUCUUUCUUCUUUUGAGAUCUGACACAUCCUUAGGAAGUCUGUUGGGAAUUUACAGUCAGGGCAAGAGGCGGAUCGGCGCGUCCUGGGUGAAAGGGAGGCGGGUGGGGUGUGGUGACUGCUGGGCCUUCUCCUGCACACCAGGCGGGCGUCCAAGAAACACCCCCAUUCUCUUCACCCUUUCUUCCCACGAACCAUCCACAAAUCUGUGUUGGCGGAGCCAGCGUGUCAGUCCUGCCCUGGGCGGUGCGAGGAAUAGCAGAAAAGCUCAUGUUUCCUGCCUGCCAGGCACAUGCUGGCUUCCCAUUGUGUCUCUGGCCCUCGUUGUGGGGAGCUGGGCUGUUGGGAUGGCCCCUUGCAGCUCAAGAGAGAAGAUGCACCUAUCAGGUGACCUUGUCCUCAGGGGAGCAUGGCCUAUGUGGGAGACACCGAAGAUAAAUAAUUAGCAAACAAAGCAAGACGGAAGAUGUCCUUCCAAGGUCCCUCGGUGCCACGAUGUGUCCCGGAGGACCGUCCCUGUUGCAACCACUCAAAUUUCGAACCUCUGCCUUCUCAUCUGCAGAAGUGACUCUGUGACCCUAAAGGGUGGGGGCAGUGUGAUGUCAGGGGCUCUGCUGCUUCUGGUGUUUCAUGUCACCUGCAGGUCCUGGACGUCACCUCGUCACCUGUGAGGACUCUGCCAUCAGUGCUGCCAGCCACAUGUGGCCAUAAGCUCAGGACAAGGCUGCCCUUUCCUGCAGGUUCGGUCAGCGCAGAAAACCUUCAGCAUCCGUCAUUCAACAAAGAAACAAACACUGGCCUCUUCCUCCAGAAACCACACUCAAUCCUGGGAAGUUAGGGACACGUGGGUUGGGCUGUCCAAAACAAGGCUGCCUGCCAGCUGCCUUGUCUUGUUUCUUUUUAAAAAAAAAAAAAAAAAAAUUAAAUUAUUAAAAGUUACUAAAUUAAAUUAAGUAAAUUUUUUUAGGGCUGCACCUGCAGCAUAUGGAAGUUCCCAGGCUAGGGGGUCAAACUGGAGCUGCAGCACCAGCCUACACCACAGCCACAGCAACAUAGGAUUCGAGCCACAUCUGUGACAGCUCAUGGCAACGCCAGAUCCCCAACCCACUGAGCAAGGCCAGGGAUCCAACCUGCAUCUUCAUGGAUACUAGUCAGGUUCUUAACCUGCUGAGCCAAAAUGGGAACUCUCUGUACUAUGGUUUUUAAAACAUGCUUCCAGUUUAUGGCUUCAGCUUCUGGGAAUCACGGUGUCCCCAUCCAUUGGCAGCAUCAAAUCAGUCGGCCCCAAAACCCACAUGUGCUUCAAAAACCUGAUUCAGGAGUUCCCGUCGUGGUGCAACAGAAACAAAUCUGACCAGGGAAGCAUGAGGUUUUGGGUUCAAUCCCUGGCCCCUCUCAGUGGGUUAAGGAUCUGGCAUUGCUGUGAGCUGUGGUGUAGGUUGCAGAUGCGGCUCAGAUCCUGGGUUGCUGUGGCUGUGGUGUAGGCCAGCAGCUGUAGCUCCAAUGGGACCCCUAGCCUGGGAACCUCAUAUGCCGUGGGUGCGGCCCUAAGAUGAAAAAAAAUAGUUAAAAAACCUGAUCCAGAGAGUUCCCGCUGUGGUACAGUGGGUUAAGAACCUGGCGUUGCUGCAGCUGUGGCGUAAGUUGCAGCUGUGGCUUGGAUUCAGUCCCUGGAGUUUCCAUAAGGUGCAGGGGUGGCCAUAAAUAAAAACUAAAACAAAAACAAACAAAACACCUGACUCAGCCUGGCCUUAGGGGGCACUCUUGGGGGAUGCAGAUCUGGGCUCAAACUGGGAUUUUCAGCCCUGGACAAAUUUCAGCCAAGUAGGGUUGGGACGAUGGCGAUGCUUUUGUGAGUAAUCUCCUGCAGGAGGUUGACACGGAUUUCGCAGAAGCUACUGAGGCCUAAAAGCCUCAGUUUUUGUGAGAAUUUCAGAUGCAAGUCCUGCCAGGGACACUUGUCAUCAGGACUGUGACCUUAUCCUGGUUUUCCUUUAAUGUCCACAAGAUCGGAAUCGGUGGAAUAAGCCUGAUGCCACCAGUGAAUUUUCCAAACUGUCCACAGGCCUCCAACCAGGUGAAUUUGUUCCUGCAAAGAGAGUGGGCUCCUUAGCGUGUGUUUCCUUCAGGAUAAGGAGGAUGUGAGGGUGCUGGUUCCUCACCAGCCUCGCCUCGCCAGUGGGUCUUGGGGUCCCGAUCACAUGUUGGAGAUUCUUGGACUCGAGGCUGAGGAUCAAACAGGAUGGCUGGAUGGAGCUUUAUGGCAUUGCCAACACUGGACCAUUUUUUUUUAACCUAUGAAAAUAGCAGUUGCAUCUAUUUUGACCUCAGGUGUGCCUUUGACCCUUGAUUGUGGCCUUUUUCCUUCGUGGUGGCAGAAAGACCCUGUGUGGCAUUUAGAAUGAAAUCCGACUCGUGCUCGAAGGUCCAGCCUGAUUCAUAAAGCAUCCUCAGCUCAGUGACCUUCGUCCUGUAAAUUCCCCUCACGAUCUCCCAGCACCCCACUCAGAGCUAAUCUGUCCACUCCGGGGUUUCGCAGAUAGUUGGCUAACAGUUCCUAUGAAAUAUAUACCCUUAAUUAUAGCGAUUUGUAUUCAUGAAUGCCCAUUAAAAUUACAAAUUCUUUGAGGAUGUGGUCCAUCACACACAUCUUUGCAUCUGCUAGCUGCCUUUCCCCAUAGUAGGCACUAUUAAUUAUUUAUUGGUUGGCUACCUGAAUCUUGAUGCUUUUACUAAUGUAGCAAAAUUGAUUACUACCCGUCAGCUCUUUCAGAAUUUAUAACAGGGCUAUAUCGUUUUUGCUUCAUGUAACAAAAAUGAUUAGGAUCUUUCACAUUAGGAUUUAAAAGAUUGUGGCGUUUUUAAUCUCAUGUACUAUGUAGCGUUCCCAUGGUGUAUACAAAUGCAUUUUCCUUUGUGUUGAUGUGAUUUGGGGAACCCUAAGAACUGACCAGGUUUCCUAGUCCUCCUGUGUCCCCCGCCCCCCCGCCGGGAGGGUGGAAGUGAGGGGGCCUGUGGGGGUGCAGAGGGUGUCACAACUACCUAAACGCAUGGAAUUAGACCACAUGCCUGCUGCACAUGAAUUGAGAACAGAGCUUCCAGGGCAACAUGCCUCCAACGGAACUGGCCAUUGCUUCGCCCUCCCCUCCC
rnacentral:lncRNA from 1 species